GGCUUCGGUUCCCCUUACGGUUACGGCGGCUUUGGACGAGGAUUUGGAUACCAUGGACUAGGUUACGGAUAUCCAUACGGUGGUUUUGGUGGUAUCGGAUUUCCCCACUCGCAUAUUCACGUUUACUAAACGUAGGUUUUUAAGAAACGUUUUAAUUUAAUAUUUGCCUACAUAGGGCCUCCUGAAUUUUUCUGUUGCCCGAUGAUAACGUACAAGUAAAAUAAAAAUUUCCUCGACGUUUGUGAUUUUGAAAAGUAAAUUGAUAUUUCAAAAUAUUAUUUUUGUUUCGAUUUAAUAAAACGAUGCUUGUAUUUAACAGGAGCUUCCUGUGAUGGACGUGUGUGGGUCAUGAAGAUGUGCUAUUUGCCAAAAAAAUAAAAGAAAAUACGUUACACU
rnacentral:misc_RNA from 1 species